rnacentral:tmRNA from 1 species
GGGGUUGUUUAUGGAUUCGACAGGGUAGUUUAGGACUAGAUAAGCAUGCCAGCGUUGUGGCUGUAAAAACACUAGGUUAAAUAUAACCGGAAACCAAAAUAUAGCUUACGCUGCUUAAUAAAUAGCGCGUUCUCCACCUUGCACUGCCUAGAGUGUUAGGCGUCGAGAUCAGCUGAUCUAGGAUAUACUCAAUUGCUGCCGUCUUAAGCGAUCGAUAGAAUUUAAUAAGACUCGUGUGUGAUACGGUUGUUUGUUCCCGGGUUGCCCAUUAAACAAUUGGACAAACUAAGCAUGUAGAAAAUGUAGAUUCGGCUAUUUUGGACAGGGGUUCAAAUCCCCUCAACUCCACCA